GUAGGAAAGGGUGUGAAAAUGCCAGAGGCUAUAAUUACUAGUACUGAAACUUUUCCCAGGAAUGCGGAUUCCCACGCUAGCCGGCCUCCUCGCCUUGCCCCAUCCCCCCGGUUGCGUCACCGUAUCCCGCGCUCCGGUUGGCUGACAUAGGGGAGUUGCUGCGGGCUCACCGGUCUCCCCUGCGCUGAUUGGCUGCAGGUGAAAGGGCAGGUGGGAGGUGGCCGCUGCUGAGGGAAAUUCGGCCUCUACGGAGGCCGGGUUUUGAGAGCCGCCCCUCGAGAACCAGGCCCCAGCCCUGGGGAAGGCGGCGGGUUCCGGGUAACGUCGACUGAGGGAGGGAGGACCAAGCCAUAGACGCGGGACUCUGCGCCGUGCGCGGAGCGAGCACUAACAGACUGCACAUAUGUCCAACCUAUCAUUCUGAAAUCUUGGUUUAAAGCACAUGGAAUUUAGGGGAGUGACAAGAUCACACUUUGAGAAGAUGCUGGAGAGGAGGCCAAGUGGAUUGACUCAAGCCCUGGAUGAGGACCAGAUCUCUAGGGAGAGACUGCAAGGUAAGAAGGGGAGAAAUAGAAUGAUAUAACAACAGAGAGCCAAAGGAAAAAAUGGAUGAAGUAAUGCCUUUACAGUAAUCACACUGAAUGUUAAUGAAUUGAACUCCCCAAUUAGAAGACAUAGACUGAUAGACUGGAUUUUUUAAAAAAUGAGCCGUCUAUAUGUUGUCUACAAGAGACCCAUCUCAGAUGUAAGGACAAACC
rnacentral:lncRNA from 1 species